GCUUGUCUCAAAGAUUAAGCCAUGCAUGUCUAAGUAUAAACGAUUUUAUACGUGAAACUGCGAAUGGCUCAUUAUAUCAGUUAUAGUUUAUUUGAUGGUCCUUACUACUUGGAUAACCGUAGUAAUUCUAGAGCUAAUACAUGCAUCAAGCCCUGACUUCGGAAGGGGUGUAUUUAUUAGAUGGAAACCAAUCCAUGCUUGCAUGGUUUUGUGGUGAUUCAUAAUAACUGAUCGAAUCGCAUGCCUUCGGGCGGCGAUGUAUCAUUCAAGUUUCUGACCUAUCAGCUUCCGACGGUAGGGUAUUGGCCUACCGUGGCAAUGACGGGUAACGGGGAAUUAGGGUUCGAUUCCGGAGAGGGAGCCUGAGAAACGGCUACCACAUCUAAGGA
rnacentral:rRNA from 1 species